rnacentral:RNase_P_RNA from 1 species
CCAGGCAGCCGGAGGGCCGCCGUCGGGUUUUCCCGAUGGAGGAACUUCCGAACUCCACAGAGCGGGACGCCCGUCGAAAGGCGGGGAGGCGGGGACCACAUGCCCCGUCGACGGAAAGUGCCACAGAGACAAACCGCCCGGCGCGAGCCGGGCAAGGGUGAAAAGGUGGGGCAAGAGCCCACCGCGCGGUCCGCGAGGGCCGCGGCCAGGCAAACCCCGUCCGGAGCAAGGCAGUGUUGGAGGCUUGGGCGGCUCGCCCGUCCCGCGAGAGCGGGAGGCCUCCCGGUAGCCGCAUAGAGAAAUGGCCCUCCAGCCGGGCGCAGGCCCGGUGGACAGAAUUCGGGGUACAGGCUGCCUCGGGUC